CUCAGUUCGGAUUGGAGUCUGCAACCCGACUCCAUGAAGCUGGAUUCGCUAGUAAUCGCGCAUCAGCCACGGCGCGGUGAAUACGUUCCCGGGCCUUGUACACACCGCCCGUCAAGCCAUGGAAGCCGGGAGUGCCUGAAGUGCGUGACCGCAAGGAGCGUCCUAAGGCAAUACCGGUGACUGGGGCUAAGUCGUAACAAGGUAAC
rnacentral:rRNA from 1 species